UAGUUAGCUGCAAGACCACAC
rnacentral:piRNA from 1 species